UUAUAGUUGCGCAGGCACUUUGGUGACUCUAGAGAACCUCGGGCCAAUCGCACGUCCCCGUGACGGCGACGACGCAUCGGAUGUCUGCCCUAUCAACUUUUGAUGGACUUUCUGCGCCUACCAUGGUGACCAUGGGUAACGGGGGAUCAGGGUUCGAUUCCAGAGAGGGAGCCUGAGAAACGGCUACCACAUCCAAGAAAGGCAGCAGGCGCGCAAAUUACCCACUCCCGACGCAUGGAGGUAGUGAUGA